rnacentral:rRNA from 1 species
AUUGAACGCUGGCGGCAGGCCUAACACAUGCAAGUCGAACGGUAACAGGAAGAAGCUUGCUUCUUUGCUGACGAGUGGCGGACGGGUGAGUAAUGUCUGGGAAACUGCCUGAUGGAGGGGGAUAACUACUGGAAACGGUAGCUAAUACCGCAUAACGUCGCAAGACUAAAGAGGGGGACCUUCGGGCCUCUUGCCAUCGGAUGUGCCCAGAUGGGAUUAGCUAGUAGGUGGGGUAACGGCUCACCUAGGCGACGAUCCCUAGCUGGUCUGAGAGGAUGACCAGCCACACUGGAACUGAGACACGGUCCAGACUCCUACGGGAGGCAGCAGUGGGGAAUAUUGCACAAUGGGCGCAAGCCUGAUGCAGCCAUGCCGCGUGUAUGAAGAAGGCCUUCGGGUUGUAAAGUACUUUCAGCGGGGAGGAAGGGAGUAAAGUUAAUACCUUUACUCAUUGACGUUACCCGCAGAAGAAGCACCGGCUAACUCCGUG